UUUUUCCAUAACAGAUUAUUCAAUCUUUGUUCCACUUUAGAUGAACUUGCCCUAUAUGCUUCAUCUUUAACACUAUUCAUCACUUCUACCAGCUGCUUUAACUCACUCUUUUUCACCACAAUCUUCAUCCUCACUACCCCUUCUUCUCUGCAUGAAAUAACUCUCAAACUUCCACUUUCAUUUGCUUUUCUAACCAUGGCUUCCAGCAUAUGAUGCUCACUUUUACUCUUCCUUGAUAAAAGUGACUUUAUACCCAUUUAGAACUUUUCAAUUCUAUGUGUAUGUGACUAUGUGUAUGUGACUAUGUGAUAGUAGCUACUACUAUUGAAUAUUAAAG
rnacentral:lncRNA from 1 species